CCAGCUGUAAACGAUGCGCGUUAGGUGUAUCGGUGACCACGAGUUACCGAGGUGCCGAAGGGAAACCGUGAAACGCGCCGCCUGGGAAGUACGGUCGCAAGGCUGAAACUUAAAGGAAUUGGCGGGGGAGCACUACAACGGGUGGAGCCUGCGGUUUAAUCGGACUCAACGCCGGGAAGCUCACCGGAUAAGACAGCUGGAUGAUAGCCGGGCUGAAGACUCUGCUUGACUAGCUGAGAGGAGG
rnacentral:rRNA from 1 species